rnacentral:rRNA from 1 species
UAGGGAAUAUUAGUAAUGGGCGCAAGCCUGAACUAGCAACGCCGCGUGUGCGAAGAAGGCCUUCGGAUUGUAAGCACUUUUUGAGAGGAUGAGGAAGGACGGUACUCUCAGAAUAAGUCUCGGCUAACUACGUGCCAGCAGCCGCGGUAACACGUAGGAGGCGAACGUUAUCCGGAUUUACUGGGCGUAAAGCGCGUGUAGGUGGUUUGGUAAGUAGGGCGUGAAAGCUCCUGGCUCAACUGGGAGAGGCCGUUCUAAACUGCCGAACUAGAGGAUGGUAGAGGGAGGUGGAAUUCCGGGUGUAGCGGUGGAAUGCGCAGAUAUCCGGAGGAACACCAGUGGCGAAAGCGGCCUCCUGGACCAUUCCUGACACUCAGACGCGAAAGCUAGGGUAGCAAACGG